rnacentral:rRNA from 1 species
CCUACGGGAGGCAGCAGUGAGGAAUAUUGGUCAAUGGCCGGAAGUCUGAACCAGCCAAGUCGCGUGAGGGACGACUGCCCUAUGGGUUGUAAACCUCUUUUAUAAGGGAAGAAUAAAAGCUACGUGUACCAUGAUGCAUGUACCUUAUGAAUAAGCAUCGGCUAACUCCGUGCCAGCAGCCGCGGUAAUACGGAGGAUGCGAGCGUUAUCCGGAUUUAUUGGGUUUAAAGGGUGCGUAGGGGGGUUUUUAAGUUAGUGGUUAAAGGUUGGGGCUUAACCUUGAAAUUGCAAUUAAUACUGUCAGACUAGAGUUCAGACGAGGUAGGCGGAAUGAGUGGAGUAGCGGUGAAAUGCUUAGAUAUAACGUAGAACUCCGAUAGCGAAGGCAGCUUACUAGACUGCGACUGACGCUGAAGCACGAGAGCGUGGGUAGCAAACAGGAUUAGAUACCCGUGUAGUC